rnacentral:rRNA from 1 species
UACGGAAGGUCCGGGCGUUAUCCGGAUUUAUUGGGUUUAAAGGGAGCGCAGGCCGUCUGUUAAGCGUGCCGUGAAAUGUACCGGCUCAACCGGUGAGUUGCGGCGCGAACUGGCGGACUUGAGUGCGUACGAGGAAGGCGGAAUUCGUGGUGUAGCGGUGAAAUGCUUAGAUAUCACGAAGAACCCCGAUUGCGAAGGCAGCCUUCCAGUCCGUAACUGACGCUAAUGCUCGAAGGUGCGGGUAU